rnacentral:rRNA from 1 species
GGACGAGAAGCUUGCUUCUCUGAUGUUAGCGGCGGACGGGUGAGUAACACGUGGAUAACCUACCUAUAAGACUGGGAUAACUUCGGGAAACCGGAGCUAAUACCGGAUAAUAUUUUGAACCGCAUGGUUCAAAAGUGAAAGACGGUCUUGCUGUCACUUAUAGAUGGAUCCGCGCUGCAUUAGCUAGUUGGUAAGGUAACGGCUUACCAAGGCAACGAUGCAUAGCCGACCUGAGAGGGUGAUCGGCCACACUGGAACUGAGACACGGUCCAGACUCCUACGGGAGGCAGCAGUAGGGAAUCUUCCGCAAUGGGCGAAAGCCUGACGGAGCAACGCCGCGUGAGUGAUGAAGGUCUUCGGAUCGUAAAACUCUGUUAUUAGGGAAGAACAUAUGUGUAAGUAACUGUGCACAUCUUGACGGUACCUAAUCAGAAAGCCACGGCUAACUACGUGCCAGCAGCCGCGGUAAUACGUAGGUGGCAAGCGUUAUCCGGAAUUAUUGGGCGUAAAGCGCGCGUAGGCGGUUUUUUAAGUCUGAUGUGAAAGCCCACGGCUCAACCGUGGAGGGUCAUUGGAAACUGGAAAACUUGAGUGCAGAAGAGGAAAGUGGAAUUCCAUGUGUAGCGGUGAAAUGCGCAGAGAUAUGGAGGAACACCAGUGGCGAAGGCGACUUUCUGGUCUGUAACUGACGCUGAUGUGCGAAAGCGUGGGGAUCAAACAGGAUUAGAUACCCUGGUAGUCCACGCCGUAAACGAUGAGUGCUAAGUGUUAGGGGGUUUCCGCCCCUUAGUGCUGCAGCUAACGCAUUAAGCACUCCGCCUGGGGAGUACGACCGCAAGGUUGAAACUCAAAGGAAUUGACGGGGACCCGCACAAGCGGUGGAGCAUGUGGUUUAAUUCGAAGCAACGCGAAGAACCUUACCAAAUCUUGACAUCCUUUGACAACUCUAG